rnacentral:rRNA from 1 species
GGUCACUGCUAUCAGUGUUCGACUAAGCCAUGCAAGUCAAAUGUUCUUCGUGAACAUGGCGGACUGCUCAGUAACACGUGGAUAACCUGCCCUUAGGAUUGGCAUAACACCGGGAAACUGGUGAUAAUACCGAAUAGACCAUUUAUGCUGGAAUGCUUUUUGGUUCAAAGGCUUCGGCUGCCUAAGGAUGGAUCUGCGGCCUAUCAGGUAGUAGUGGGUGUAAUGUACCUACUAGCCUACGACGGGUACGGGUUGUGAGAGCAAGAGCCCGGAGAUGGAUUCUGAGACAUGAAUCCAGGCCCUACGGGGCGCAGCAGGCGCGAAAACUUUACAAUGCGGGAAACCGCGAUAAGGGGACACUGAGUGCCAGCAUAUUAUGUUGGCUGUCCACAUGUAUAAAAACCAUGUGUUAGCAAGGGCCGGGCAAGACCGGUGCCAGCCGCCGCGGUAACACCGGCGGCCCGAGUGGUGAUCACUUUUAUUGGGUCUAAAGGGUCCGUAGCCGGUUUGAUCAGUCUUCUGGGAAAUCUGACAGCUCAACUGUUAGGCUUUCAGGGGAUACUGUUAGACUUGGGACCGGGAGAGGUAAGAGGUACUACAGGGGUAGGAGUGAAAUCUUGUAAUCCCUGUGGGACCACCAGUGGCGAAGGCGUCUUACCAGAACGGGUCCGACGGUGAGGGACGAAAGCUGGGGGCACGAACCGGAUUAGAUACCCGGGUAGUCCCAGCCGUAAACGAUGUUCGCUAGGUGUCAGGGACGGUGCGACCGUUUCUGGUGCCGUAGGGAAGCCGUGAAGCGAACCACCUGGGAAGUACGGCCGCAAGGCUGAAAC